rnacentral:snoRNA from 1 species
CCACUCUCAGGGUUGCACCUGGAGAGUUUCUAGUACUCUACCAGUCUCGACUACGGAGGAAGAGUCAAGCAGAGGCAUAUCCAAUUCAUUCCUAGCUUGGGCAGUGGCUAGCAAGUGGAAGAUAAUCUGCUACAAGU